GCCACAGAAGCAGGCGUGACUUUCUGCGGCAGUAGGAGUCAUAUGACCGCUGUUGUCAAUGUAAAACAGGAAGUCUGCGCCGAUGAACCGGGGGAUUACCGAGCAAACUAAGAAAGAAAGCGACAGUUUCUAUUACAGGAUGGUUAUGAGCUGCACAUCAUGGACCAGAUGACAGGCAGGAGGAGGAGAAUGGAGGAUGAGCGCGGUCUGAUCAGAGCGCACGCUACUGCAUCACAGUCUGUGGGAAGCCAGGAUGAAGGUUCAUCGAGGUUUGUCUACGUCCUCGCCGCCUUCUCCGCUUUGGGAGGCUUCCUCUUCGGCUAUGACACCGGGGUGGUAUCCGGGGCCAUGCUUUUGCUCAAGAAAGAGAUGAACCUGAGCACCUUGUGGCAGGAGUUGCUGGUCUCCAGCACUGUCGGUGCGGCGGCGCUCUCAGCUCUUGCAGGCGGAUUUCUGAACGGUCUUUACGGCCGCAGGAAGUGCAUCAUGCUGGCCAGCAUCAUUUUUACUGCGGGGGGGAUCAUUUUAAGCCUGGCACCUAAUAAAUCUGUUCUUCUCAUCGGUAGGCUUAUUGUUGGGCUUGGCAUAGGAAUAGCAUCUAUGACCGUGCCAGUCUACAUAGCUGAAGUGUCUCCUCCUCAGCUCCGGGGUCAACUGGUCACCAUAAACACGCUGUUUAUCACAGGAGGUCAGUUCAUAGCCAGCGUGGUGGAUGGAGCCUUCAGUUACAUGGGGCACGAUGGCUGGAGGUAUAUGCUGGGUUUGUCAGUAGUCCCUGCUGUGCUGCAGUUUUUGGGAUUCUUCUUCUUCUUGCCUGAGAGUCCUCGCUGGCUCCUGCAGAAAGGUGAUUCUCAGAAGGCCCUGGAGGUGCUCACACAGAUACGAGCCACAGAGAGUGUGAACAAUGAGUAUGACAGUAUCAAGUGCAUUAUUGAAGAGGAGGAAAAGGAAGCAGGAGGGAGACCAGUUCUGUUCCGUAUCCUGUCUUGCGCUCCUGCCCGGAGAGCUCUGAUUGUGGGAUGUGGCCUUCAGAUGUUCCAGCAGCUUUCUGGAAUAAACACUGUAAUGUAUUAUAGUGCUACAAUUUUGCAAAUGGCAGGAGUGAGGGAUGAUAAGCAAGCCAUCUGGCUUUCUGCUGCUACUGCAUUCACCAAUUUCCUGUUUACGCUUGUGGGUGUUUUUCUGGUGGAACGUGUGGGCCGAAGAAAACUGACUCUGGGCAGCAUUUUUGGUACUGCUGUUAGUCUGUCUGUCUUGGCUGUGGGAUUCCUUCUUUCUGCUCAGGCCUCUCCUCCAGUGAACUUUCACCCCAGUGACCCCACUUCACUUAACUCAACCUGCACACACUAUGGAUUUUGUGAACAGUGUAUGUUGGAUCCAAAUUGUGGCUUUUGCUAUUAUGAGAAUGGCUCAAACAUAUCAGACUCUUCCUGUGAGCGAGUGGAUCCAGCCAACAUUGAGCUAGCAGCAAGUGGCAGGUGCUCCAAUGGUACAGAAGAAAAUCCAGGUGCAUACUGGGCCUACAACUACUGCCCAACCUCCUAUUCCUGGAUAGUAUUGCUGGGUCUUAUUCUUUACCUGGCCUUCUUUGCUCCAGGGAUGGGGCCCAUGCCAUGGACAGUGAAUUCAGAGAUUUAUCCACUGUGGGCUCGGAGCACAGGCAAUGCCUGCUCCGCCAGUGUCAACUGGAUCUUCAAUGUCCUUGUGUCUCUAACAUUCCUCCAUGUGGCUGAGUACCUCACAUACUAUGGUGCAUUUUUCCUGUACACUGGCCUGGCAGUGAUUGGCUUCUUUUUCAUGCUUGGAUGUCUACCAGAGACCAAGGGACUCAUGUUGGAGGAAAUAGAGACUCUGUUUAGCAGGCAACUCUGCACCUGUGGCACACCUGGUGGCGAAAAUGCACAUUACAUCAGGGUGAUGUUCUCUGUGGAGUGUGGGUCUUCAUGGCAUUGAAGAUAUUCAUCACUGUUGCUAAGAACUUUCUUGACCAAAUGAGACCAACUUUUUCGUGUCCUCUAUAUUGUAGGUCCAUUCUCUUUAUCUUUUUGGCGAACUGUUGGGAGACCUGAACAAUAAUUAUUCAGUCAUGUUACAGUUCUGUCCAAUUUCCUGCUUUAAAACUACAUCUUUAUAAAAGAUAAGAAUCAUGCACUUCUGGGUUUCAUUGAGAUGUGGUGAAUGGUGAGGAUGUGGAGUUCGGGUUACAGUCAUUAUAUACCUUACACUGCAUUAUAUUUAAGCUACUGUAUAGUGCACGUUUAUCAAAUGACUAAACUUGGCAGGUUUUAAUGUUGUAGCCUCGUUUGGAUUUGGGAAAGUUGCAUUAUGGGACACUGGAACCAGAUGAAGGAAUUGCAUACAUAUCACUGCAGUAAUGGUGCAUUUAUUCCUGGAUUUGCCCUUCAGGAACAAUCAACAGCACAUUUGAGAUUAUGAUCAAUGAACUGACAUUUUUUUAAUUUGAAGAUACGCAUAUACUGUAUAUACAUACUAACAAAGAGUUCAAAUAAGUCUCGAUGAUUUACGCUCUGCCACUACAGUUAUCAUGAACUAACCCUUGAUUUUUGGGAUAAAUUCAUGCCCUAAAAGUGUUUACUCUUUAUGUCUGACAAUAAUAUGUUGUUUAUUAUAUUGGGAUGAAACUUGGUCCUUUAAGGACUGGUAUCUAUUGUAUUGUGUUAUGUUCAUUAUUAAACGUUUCAUUGUGUUAGAUUAACGGUUUCCAAAAUAACCAAAGAACAAUCUGAACCUUCUUUAAUUUUAACUGACAAGCCAUGAAAUUCUCCCAAUUUUGUCGAAUAAAUAUUAUAGUAAUAUAGUUUUAGCUAAUAUAGUAUUAUGUUCUAGUAUAUGAAAUGACCCGACCAAGGACCUCAACAGUAUUUUUACUGAAUACAAGAAUCCAUGAACCCCUUUUGGAAACCCGGGUGUUGGAUAUAUCUCAGCAAUAGCAAAAGCAAUACUCCACUCUGCUAUUUAAGAUGUCACUCACAUUGUUACCUUAUUCUUAUUACUUUGUACAUUCAAAGUUGUUGAUCUUUUCUAUUAAAUAAAAUUUGUCAGAAUUAA